GUGAUCACUUCAGCAGCAUAUAUACUAAAAUUGGAACAAUACAGAGAUUUGCACGGUCCCUGUGCAUGGAUGACACACAAAUUUGUGAAGUAUUCCGUAUUUUU